AAAAAGUUUGAUUUUAGCUUAAUUAUUUAUUUAAUGAUUAUUUUGCAUGUAAAUUUUAGUGGGGAAAUUUACUUAUUUUAUUUUAAAUAAAUUAAAUAUAGGAUAUAUUUUAUUUGCAGCAUUUUAUUUUAAUAAUUAAAAAAAUUUAGAAUUAUUAAUUUGUUUUAAUUUAGGCAAAAAUUGUGCCAGCAGCUGCGGUUAAACAAUUUAUGUAAAUAAAUAUUAUUAAUUUAUAAAUUUUAAUAAAAAUUAAUAAUAUUGAAUGUUUUUAAUAAUUAAGUGAAAUUUUUAUUAUUUAUUAAAUUUUUAUUAUAUUAUUUAAUUUAUGAAAUCUAAUAAAUAAACUAGGAUUAGAUACCCUAUUAUUUUAGAAUUAAAUUUAAAUUAUUAAGAAUUAAUAGUUAAGUUCUUUAAACUUAAAAAAAUUGGCGGUAUUUAAAUCUAAUUAGGGGAAUUUGUUUAUUAAUUGAUAAUCCUCCAGGUACCUUACUUUAAUUUUUAGUUUGUUUAUUGUCGUUAGCAAAAUAUUUUUUAAGAAUUUUAAUUUUUUAAUAUUUUAAUUAAAAAAAGUAUUUCAGAUCAUUAUGCAGUUAUAUUAAAGUUUAAAUGAAUUACAAUAAAAUAAAUUUAGAUGAAUUUUUAGUUGAAAUAACUAAAAUGAAAGUGGACUUAAUAGUAAAAUUAAAUUAUUAUAAAAUUAAUUUGAAUUAAGAAUUAAAUAUGUACAUAUUGCCCGUCACUCUCGUUUUAAAAUGAGAUAAGUCGUAACAAAGUAAGUGUAUUGGAAAAUGUACUUAGAAUGA
rnacentral:ncRNA from 1 species